GACGAACGCUGGCGGCGUGCCUAACACAUGCAAGUCGAACGAGAUCCAUGGGAGCUUGCUCCCGGAAGAUCUAGUGGCGAACGGGUGAGUAACACGUGAGAAACCUGCCCUGGAGUGGGGAAUAACUCGGGGAAACUCGAGCUAAUACCGCAUACCCUCAGAUGGUCGCAUGGCCGACUGAGGAAAGAAUUUCGCUCCAGGAGGGUCUCGCGGCCUAUCAGCUAGUUGGUGGGGUAACGGCCUACCAAGGCAACGACGGGUAGCUGGUUUGAGAGAACGAUCAGCCACACUGGGACUGAGACACGGCCCAGACUCCUACGGGAGGCAGCAGUGGGGAAUCUUGCGCAAUGGGCGAAAGCCUGACGCAGCAACGCCGCGUGCGGGAUGACGGCCUUCGUGGUUGUAAACCGCUUUCAGCAGGGACGAAAAUGACGGUACCUGCAGAAGAAGCCCCGGCUAACUACGUGCCAGCAGCCGCGGUAAUACGUAGGGGGCAAGCGUUGUCCGGAUUCAUUGGGCGUAAAGAGCUCGUAGGCGGUUCAGUAAGUCGGGUGUGAAAGCUCCGAGCUCAACUCGGAGAGGCCACCCGAUACUGCUGUGACUUGAGUCCAGUAGAGGAGCGUGGAACUCCUGGUGUAGCGGUGAAAUGCGCAGAUAUCAGGAAGAACACCUGCAGCGAAGGCGGCGCUCUGGGCUGGAACUGACGCUGAGGAGCGAAAGCGUGGGUAGCAAACAGGAUUAGAUACCCUGGUAGUCCACGCCGUAAACGUUGGGCACUAGGUGUGGGGAGCCGUCAACGCUCUCCGUGCCGUAGCUAACGCAUUAAGUGCCCCGCCUGGGGAGUACG
rnacentral:rRNA from 1 species